UGCAAAGACACAUAAAGGGAGAGAAAUAUGAAAUACUGUUGAACACACGAAUCCCAUCGUCAUGGUGAGAACUCUUGAGUACCAGGCUGGCAAGUCAUGCCCCUUCUUGUCGGCUGUUCUUCCGGAACCAUAAAUCUUGCACUCCUUUCAGCAGAGGCACAGAGCCAUCAGGAAGAAAAACGCUGCCCCUACUUCAACCAGUUUGCUAACUGUUAAGACAGCCUCCUAGGGAGGAAGAAGAUGGCAUAAUGAACCUCCUCAGUCAAACUAAACUCAGGAGCACAGGAUCUUCCUUGCACUCCUCAAUACUUCGAGCAAACAGAGGGCUGAUGGGAAGAUUGACAACGUCAGGCAACUAGGGGUUUCCUGAGAGAUUUCUGUACAGAGAAGCUCAGACACAGCUGCUGAAAGACGAGGAUGAAGGUUCAGAUGAGCAGAGUAAGAAUGCAGCCAUGCAGAGCAUCUCCAGACUUCCAUCAAGCUCUGCUCAGCCAAUGUACCAUGCUUGGACAAACAUGGUGCAGUUGCCAAUUGAUCUGUCAUAUUGUGGUUUUCAAAGAUGAACUGAGAAUGCUGUGAAAGGAGCUUGCUGUUGAAGAGCUGCCGAAAGACCUGGAGUAGGGACUUACAUUUUCAGCGUGGCUAACUUUCACUGACAUUGAAGAUGUCUCACUCAGAAGAUCAUCAAACCCAUGUUUUCUCUUCCUCUUCAGCAGACAAAGCUUCAUUCAUUUGAUGUGGAGAAGCUGAAGAAACUAAUUUUCUUCUUGAAAUAAGUGUGAAUUCUUUUUAUCUAGUGAUUUAACAACUCCUGACAAUGCUUACAUUUCACUUCAGAAAAAUUAGCUGUUUUCCUAAGUUCAGUCUUUCACUAAGUCUUUUAGUAUUCCCUUUCUCAACUCAGGCUAAUAUAGAAAGAAGUUAUGUAAUAGCUUCUUCAAAAUGACCUAUCAGUUGUACUAAUAAAAAAAAAAACUUUCACAUUUACUACAAUUAGCAUUAAAAAAAAAAAACAAACAAAUUUUUUGAAUCUAACACCGCAAAGAAUGAAAAUAAGAUGUGCUGAAUUCUUACUGAAUUAGAAGUCAAUUUAAAGCUCUCAGUGCAGUAUUUUUAAAAGUUUGUGAAGGAAAGACAUGAGGAAAAGGGUAAAUGAAGAUGGAUUAUAGAUGAUGGUGAUUUUACAGUGAAGACACGGAGAUCGUUUUUGGUCUAAAUAUCCACUACUUGUAAGUAGUAACAGCUUCUGCCCCCAACUGCAUGGUACUUCACAGACACACAGAAAGUCCUCCCAGCAUUUGCUUUAUACAAAUCAAAAUUCCUGUUUCCUUACUCAACUUUAUUUAAGUGUGUACUGGCAAGAAAUGUUCCUUUCACAUAAGAUGCCACUGAAAAGGAUGUUAGAAGCUCAACUCAUUUACCUUCAGAAAUAUCAAGAAUCUGAGCACAGGUAGUCUGAACAUAAAGAAUUCCAGUAAUAGAGAUCUGACAUCACCUCCUGACAACACCUUUCUGUGCUUCAUUAGUCCUACUUUUAGAAAACUCCAAACCUGAAUUUAUCUUUUUGCAUUUUAAAACUCAUUUCUUGUUCUGUUCGUGGUAACCUGGAGAAAAAAUAAUCCUUUUCUUUCUGAGGCAGCCCAGAAGACACACCUGAAGGCACGUUUCUUCUCAGACUUUUUUCCUGUACACUAAACAACACCAGUUCUUCAAACUUUCCUCAGAAAUGUUUUAGGCCCUGAUCACUCUCACUGUUCUCCUUUGGAUUCACCAGAGUUAACCCACUUCCUUUGUGAAUUAUAAUGCUAAAUGCUAACUACAAUAACCUAGGUGAGACCUUAAUGAUGCUGAGUCCUCUUAUUUCCCAAGUUUUACAAGCUACAUUUCUGAGUUAGCAUUGAAAGUUGUCCUACUCUAUCCCCCUAACCCUCUUCUAAGGGACUAGCCAUUUAUUUCCUAUUCCAAGCUGUUAAAGCUGUCUAUUCCCACCUAAAUAUGAAAUUUCACCUUUCUCCAUUUCGAAUCUCAUCCAAUUGUCCAGAUUGCUUCUCCAACUGGCCAAGACCAUUUUGAAUUUGAAUUCUAUACUCUAACUUGUUGUUACCAGCCUACUGCCAUCUGUAGAUAGAAUAAACAUAUUCUGUAUUCCAUCCUCAACUCACAAAUGAAAAUACCAAGUAAUGCAUGACACAGGAGAGACACUUGUACAAAGCAGUUGAUUUAUCUUUCCUGUUUGACAGUGUUAAUUACUUUUGCUAUUUUGCAACUAUGUUGCUAACUACUGUUCAAGUAUGAUUUCCAAAUAAUGCUGCACUCAUCUUAAAAACAUGGUGUUCAUAUAGUCUCACUGCUUUGCUUAUAAGAAAUGUAGCAUUUAGCUAUGACAGGUAAAGAUUAUUGAAGACCUUGUUAAAGUCAAGAUAAUUAACAUCUAUUAUUUCUCUCCUAUUCCGAGCCCUACUUGCUCAAACCAGAAGGAAAACAAAUUAGUUUGACGUGGGCUGCUCUCAACAUAUCUGUUUUGUCUGUUAGCCAUUUCUUUUCUGUCUUCCAGAUGUUUACACAUAACCUAUGUGAUUAUUUGUUUAAUAUUUGGUCCAGUAUUUUUUUUUUUUUUUUAGGAAUUGAAGUUAAAUUUACUAACAUUAAAUUGCCCUGCUCUUUCUUUUUAUCUCAUGCGUGCUAAAUUUGUCCUUUUUCAAUCUCUUACACUCCGAGUGAACAUCUCUGGGCUAUCAGAGAUGCCUGCUGAAAGGUUCUCUAAUUAAGCUGGAGCCCAUCUUAUAUAGGCUGUAAGAUCAUACCUCUUUGCUUUUGAUAAUAAUUGCAUUAGCCACACAACUCCAGCAGACUUUUCUAGUGAAUACCGAAACAGAAAAAAGGCAUUAUUUGUUUUGGUCUAAGACAACUUACAUUACUAGUUUUCUCCCUCAACUGAGUAUUGAAUAGUUGCUCAAUCUUUCUCUAAUUCAUUACAGAAUUUAAGUAGAAACCUAACAGUCAUGAAAUGUUCUUUAAAAAAAAAAUCUUUAAGCUGGUCAUUUAUAAAAGAUCUCUUGUUUGUCUUAAUCAUAACUUCUGCUCCUUGUUGUUUUUGAUUUCUGACCUCAUAUACCUAUGCAUUCCCUUAUACUAAUCCUAGUAAUCUCAUAUGAUUUUCAUUUCCUGUGUGACUCCUUCACGUGCUUGAGGUCAUGUACAUGAUUUAGCCAGAUGACUUCUUGCUAUACUUGCUAUUCUUUCCUUGCUUUUGGACCAUUACAUUUUAAGUAACUUGUUUUUCGUCAGGAAAAGCUUUAUUCCUUCAGAGUUUGCUUCCAUGAAAUGAGAUCUUCUAAUAUCCUGAGCUUGUUGAAGUCUGCUUUCUUGAAAUCCUCUUCUUCAGUUUUGCUAUUUUUCCUCCUUUCCUUCAAAAGGAUCCUUGGUAGUUUUGUUUCAUGUCCACACAGGUUCUCUUCCACUGUCACAUUCUCAUCCAUUCUUUUUAACACAAAGUUGCCACAGACUGUAUUCUAACCUCCCUUGUUUCUUCACUUUCUGUACCAAAGUGCCUAUCAAAACCGAAUAACAGAAUCCCAGAAUGGCUGAGGCUGUCAGGGACCUCUGAGUCCAUCUGCUCCAAGCCCUGCUCAAGCAGAGAUACCCAGAGCAGGCUGCCCAGCACCCCAUCCAGGUGGCUUUUGAGACUCAACAAGCUUUCUGGGCAGCCUGUGCCAGGGCUCAGCCACAUGCACAGGAAAAAUGUUCAGGUGGAACCUGAAUUUCCAGUUUGAACCCACUGCCUCUUGUCCUAGCACCAGACGGCACUGAAAAUAGCAUCACUCCAUCUUCAUUGCAUCACACAUCAAGACACACUAGACUCUCUGUGGCCUGCUAUACUUUUUUCCAGAUGAAGUCUUCAUAUAAUUUUUGGCCUGUUUUUUCUUUCUUUCUUUCUUUCUUUCUUUCUUUCUUUCUUUCUUUCUUUCUUUCUUUCUUUUUUUUUUUUUUUUUUUUUUGUAGUUGUGAUUUCAAGAGAAAACUCUUCCUGAUCUUACAACAGACAUAGUAUCCUCUUUCUGAACAAGCUACCAUGUGUGCCCGUAUACUCAUAUUUUAUUCUUAUAAGCCAUUCUAACAAGCUAUUACUAAACUACUUGAUUUGGACUUGAGUAUUAAAACUUUCUGAUUCUUUUCAUGUAUUUGAUUUCUAUAUUUGAAGAGACUUCCUACAUGUGGAAGGACACUUGGGCUUUUGAAUGCCUGCUUAACUCACCAUCAAGGGAGAAAUUAGCACACAUUCUCAUGUAUUUGUUCACAUUUUUCAAUUCAAAAAAACAGAACUUUUUCUGCUGUGCUUUCACCACUAUGGUUUCUUCUGGUGACCCUGUCUGAGCAGUGUUUUUUGCUGCUAUAUACCAUGAGAUGAAAGAAUAGCACCUACAGUUCAAAAUUAGUAGCAUUUGCUAUAUAGAGAAGAUAAAUGGGAGGAACAUGUGAACUUAAAACUGGAGUUAUUGUCUCUGCUCUACUUCCAAUGUGAGUAUUUACAAAGAAGAGCAUAUACUUUUUAUGUGCAUUAUAUAAGUAUGGCUAUAAUCCUAGAGAGUUAAAGCAUGAGUCUGAAUUAACAGGUUGAAGUAGACUCUGAGAUUAAAACCUUCUUUUCUAGUGAUGACAAUACUCUGGCAAUGUGGACUUUGGUAUUUGUUACUCUUUCCUUCAGUUUUUAGUUCAUUGGCUGUAAAAUGACUAUGAUAAUAGACACCUACUUCAUAAGUGGAAUGUUUGUCUUAAAGAAUAUUUAUAAAGCCAUUAAGAUCCUCGUAUGAUAAGCAUCACGGAAAGCAAAGGAGUAUUAGUAACAACGUUCACUCAGAAUGGUGCUGGUAUCUUGGUGAUAACUUUAUCCCUAAAAUCACUAGAAGAAGACUUAACAGCUUACAGAAAAUGCUGAAAUGAGGCAAAUUUUCACUCAUCUCUGUAAAGCAUCUUUCUGCACUGAGAGCUCCAGCACACAUCUGUCAUCUGGAGGCCAAGCAGGCCUUCCACAAUUCCAGGAAAUCAAUUCCAAAGACUGUAGAUUGUCAGUUGCAUGUACACUGGAGGCCAUCCAGGCAGCAGAUUAAAUUGUAUGAGAAAAUUGUAGCAGGCUCUAGACUGCACGUAAUGGAGACCUUCGGUGACCCUUCUGAGGACUUGGGAAAUAUGCAUUGAAUUUACGAACAGGCCCUUUUGUAACACCAAAACUGCGUGCUGAACUUCUCUUACGUAUCACACAGGGUCAUUCACAACUGAGCUAUUUCUGAAGAAGAAAAACAAACCAGAAAACCUAAUCACAGUCCUUUCUUCUUGUAGAAAAUGUGCAGGGAUACCAGAGCUGCAUUAUUUGUAGGACAAAAAGAAAAAAGAAAAAAAAAAAGAAAAAGAAGUUGGUACUUGGGAAAGCCUCAGUCUUUAGCAGUGUUUAAUGGGACUACUGUUCCUGAAUCUUUUACCCCUGAGAGAUUUCAGCCAAGUACCCAAAAUUCUGGCCACAAUGAAUACUGAUGCAGAAGGCUAAUUUAGAAAUGUAGCUGUUUCAGUUUUGUUGUUUUACUCCUACACUGUUGAUUACCCUCCGGUUUUUGGUUUCAUUGUUUCUAGAGUACCCUUGACACUGCCAGAGUUCAAACUGUUAAUGUGACCCUUUCACUGCUGCUCACUUGGGGGUUCAGGCUGUAGUGUGUAACUCUCCUUGUCACGAACAGGAAUGCUGCAUGCACACAAAGAACCUAAUCCCUUUUGAAAAUAAAGCUUUGCUACACCAAUGAAUAAUGAGCUACAUAAAAUUCUGUUUAUUACUUCUGAUCAGUCUCAGGUUUCAAAAACUGGGAGGUUAGUGACACUGAAUUCUACUUUCCAAUUCAUCAGUACUUAGGUAGGUCCCUUCAUCUCACCCCUUAAUAGUACUACUCUUCUUCAGAAAACCUGCAUAGCUCAACACGUAUCUGUGAGUUUGUUUGUUUGUUUUAAACAGAUUAGAAAAGAUUUACAGAGCAUUUGAAGCAGAUGGAAUACAGUUGGGGAGGGGUUGUUUUUUGAAUAAACCCUCUACAUUCUCUUUGACAGAAAAAAAGUGUCUUUUCCUUUCAUCACACAGAAUCAUAACCCAAGCUUCCCACAGCUUAAGACCUUUGUAUAUAUCUCCAAAGCAGCUUUUAGGGCAUAAUGUUAAGCAAGUUGUUAGCCUUACAGCAAGGCUCUACAACCUCUACACAGCACAUAAUCGGAGAGGGAAAUGGUGAACAGGAACCGUCCUUUUCUU
ensembl:lncRNA